rnacentral:rRNA from 1 species
UGCCAGCAGCCGCGGUAAUACGGAGGAUCCAAGCGUUAUCCGGAUUUAUUGGGUUUAAAGGGUGCGUAGGCGGCUCUAUAAGUCAGUAGUGAAAUCUCGAAGCUCAACUUCGAACGUGCUAUUGAAACUGUAGAGCUUGAGUACAGACGAGGCAGGCGGAAUGUGUUGUGUAGCGGUGAAAUGCUUAGAUAUAACACAGAACACCGAUAGCGAAGGCAGCUUGCCAGACUGUAACUGACGCUGAGGCACGAAAGCGUGGGUAGCGAACAGGAUUAGAUACCCUGGUAGUCC